rnacentral:rRNA from 1 species
GGACGAACGCUGGCGGCGUGCCUAAUACAUGCAAGUCGAACGGUCUUUCUAUGGAAGCUUGCUUCCACUGAAAGGAUAGUGGCGAACGGGUGAGUAACACGUGGGUAACCUGCCCAUAAGAGGGGGGAUAACAUCCGGAAACGGGUGCUAAUACCGCAUAGUUUUCUUGAUCGCAUGAUCGGGAAAGGGAAGACGGCCUUUGUGCUGUCGCUUAUGGAUGGACCCGCGGCGUAUUAGUUAGUUGGUGAGGUAACGGCUCACCAAGACGAUGAUACGUAGCCGACCUGAGAGGGUGAUCGGCCACAUUGGGACUGAGACACGGCCCAAACUCCUACGGGAGGCAGCAGUAGGGAAUCUUCCGCAAUGGACGAAAGUCUGACGGAGCAACGCCGCGUGAGUGAAGAAAGGUUUUCGGAUCGUAAAACUCUGUUGUCAGAGAAGAACAAGUUGGAGAGUAACUGCUCCAGCCUUGACGGUAUCUGACCAGAAAGCCACGGCUAACUACGUGCCAGCAGCCGC